ensembl:snRNA U6 U6 spliceosomal RNA
GUGCUCGCUUCAGCAGCACAUAUACUAGAAUUGGAAUGAUGCAGAGAAGAUUUAGCAUGGCUCCUGCAAAAGAAUGACAUGCAAACUCAUCAAAAGGAAGCAACUGGU